rnacentral:rRNA from 1 species
AGUGAACGCUGGCGGUAUGCCUAACACAUGCAAGUCGAACGGCAGCACAGUAAGAGCUUGCUCUUACGGGUGGCGAGUGGCGGACGGGUGAGGAAUACAUCGGAAUCUACUUUUUCGUGGGGGAUAACGUAGGGAAACUUACGCUAAUACCGCAUACGACCUACGGGUGAAAGCAGGGGAUCUUCGGACCUUGCGCGAUUGGAUGAGCCGAUGUCGGAUUAGCUAGUUGGCGGGGUAAAGGCCCACCAAGGCGACGAUCCGUAGCUGGUCUGAGAGGAUGAUCAGCCACACUGGAACUGAGACACGGUCCAGACUCCUACGGGAGGCAGCAGUGGGGAAUAUUGGACAAUGGGCGCAAGCCUGAUCCAGCAAUACCGCGUGGGUGAUGAAGGCCUUCGGGUUGUAAAGCCCUUUUGUUGGGAAAGAAAAGCAGCAGGUUAAUACCCCGCUGUUCUGACGGUACCCAAAGAAUAAGCACCGGCUAACUUCGUG